rnacentral:lncRNA from 1 species
UCUUAGCGCCCCCCACCCUCUAUGGAGACAUUUCAACCAGGGAGAAGGGAAGUCCUGCCCUUGCCCCUCGCCCCCGCCCUGCUCCUCCAACAGGGGAGACUUCUGUCCAAACCUUGGAAAGAAACGAGAUGCCAGGCCUAGCGCCUUCGGGGAUCCUCUCUGGACAAGGCCACAGGGUGAAAACACCAGGUGAGGACUUCACUACCCUUGGGGCCACCAUGGGACCCUGGAGACCUUUGCCUCCCUCCAGGCGCCCCCGACCCCUUAAACUUUUUCUCCCUGAGCUCAGCCUGGAGCAGAGUUAGGAUCCUGGGAAAGCCCCUUACCAGUUGCUCCAACCCCCUCCUUAAACUGGAAGGGAAACUGAGGCCCAGAGAAAAGUAGUGAUUGACUAGGGCCACAUGGCACGUUCCUAGAGGAAGAGCAUGGGCCAGAACCCACAGAUGCUGACCUCCUGGCCAGAGGUCAAGGCAUUCCUUAUGGUUGAGCAUAGCCAGCCCCGUGUGCCAGUAUCCAGCCCCUGCCCUGCACCAAGCAGAGGGGCUGGACACCUCUGUCAUGGCACCAGCUGCCUCUCCUUCCCCAGCACAGUCUGGACCUGGGCGGACUUUUUGGAAAAGCUUCUGGAUGCCACGGACUCCACGACCAACCAACUAGGUUGCUGCUGCUUGCAAACAUCGCCUCCAUUGAAGGAUUCCUGCAGCCACCAGCUCUGGAACUUUCUGGAACCAAACAUUUCCCCAGACUGCCUACAAGGACCAAUUGGCCUCUGGAUGUAGGUGUGGCCUGCAGGGGUCCGGCAGGGCUCCCCAGAGUCAAGUGGACCCAGCCCUUUGGACCCCCUGCCCGGUCCUAUUGACCUCUGCUCUCUCCCUGCAGCACUUCCUGGAGGCGUUUGACCGGGACCUGGGAGGGCAGCUGAGAAGUGCCUGACCAUUCUCAAGGAGCUGCGUGGAUUCCAGACAUCUCUGGGCUGGUCUCUGGACCGGGAUGGGGGACCCAGAGGUGGAGCCGAACACACAAGCAGCACUUGAGGGCUCCGAGGGUGGCAAGGAGAGAAGUUCCUGCUCUGGUACAGCCCUGGGACCUUGAAAGGUGCUUCAACAGAGCGUCCACUCCCAGCGCCUAGCUCUGGGACCUUGAAUGGUGCUUUAACAGAGCGUCUGCUCCCAGCGCCAAGCCCUCAGUGCAGAGGGGGAGACUCAGGCGGCCCUCAGACACAAUUCGCCAAGGUCGCACAGCAAGUCAGGGUGCCGCUAAGACUAGGACCUACAGCUCUGCCUCCUGGCCCAGGCUCCUCAGCACCUGGGCCCCAGAGGACAGCCUGUGGGAGGCCCACAUGGCCACUGCACCAUGAACCAAGGACCUGGUCCGGGUCCACCUCCACCAAGUGCUGGCCGUGUGUCACUGGGGUCACUCCACUCUCUGCAUUAGGUCUCAGUCAUCCAAGACCAUCUUUCAAGGGCCGUCACUCCAAUUAUGAGUCUGGGAUUUUCUGAAAUUGAGCAUUUUGGCCAGGCUGUGGGGUCCCUCUAUGACUGCCUGUAAGACACUGCCAAGGGGACUUUCUUCCUUUCACCAGACUGAAGCUAAGAAGUGCUGGAGACAGCAGUUGCUUUAGCCACAGGCUGUGUAGACCACCUGAGGAUGACCUGGGGGUCUGUUUUGUGCACCUUGGAACCCAUCGGAUCCCUCCAAUGACACAUUUGUCCAGAGCAAGACAAGAUCACACUUUGACAGCCCUCUGUCAAGAUCCUUGCUCCAAAUCUCCAGACUAGCAGCCAGGAGUCUCCAUGCUGUUCUGAAGAAGCAGAUUCCUCACCCACCCUUCAACUCCUUCCCAGGAGGUAAUCCUCCUCCAAAUCUCUGGAAAAGAUACACCUCCUCUUCUCUGAUAAAGGCUGGGGGGUGAUGCCCCUCCCCCAGUUUCCCAAUAAAGCUAUGCAAGACAGGAGCAAGGGAUCUCACGGCCUGUUUUUGCUACAAAAACCCUUUUUCGGAAAAAAUAAUAAAGAAAGGAAUCAGCCAAUCCCUC